AAUUAUUUUAAAAAUUACAAAAAUAUUCUUCCAUAAUGCAUGUGCCUUUGACUCAAAAAUAUACUUGUACUGUGGGUGCAUUGGGGUGCAUCCAGUAGCACAACCGCUCGAUUACACGACAUUAGUCCGAAAACUAGAUGGGGAAAAUGUUGGUACCAACAAAAUUCUCUAGACAUUUCAAUUUCAAUUUUUACAGACAAGAUUUAUGAUUGAAAUCUGGUUUUCCAUAUUAAAAUCAUAGUCAGCCGAGAAACAAAAUCUGUGCAAAAUAAAAUAGAAACAUAAAGAAGGAAGAGGGAAA